rnacentral:rRNA from 1 species
UACGUAGGGUCCGAGCGUUGUCCGGAAUUAUUGGGCGUAAAGGGCUCGUAGGCGGUUUGUUGCGUCGGGAGUGAAAACUUACAGCUUAACUGUGAGCGUGCUUCCGAUACGGGCAGACUUGAGGUAUUCAGGGGAGAACGGAAUUCCUGGUGUAGCGGUGAAAUGCGCAGAUAUCAGGAGGAACACCGGUGGCGAAGGCGGUUCUCUGGGCAGUAACUGACGCUGAGGAGCGAAAGCGUGGGGAGCGAACAGG